rnacentral:rRNA from 1 species
UACGAAGGGGGCUAGCGUUGCUCGGAAUCACUGGGCGUAAAGGGUGCGUAGGCGGUUUGGUAAGUCUGAUGUGAAAUCUAUGGGCUCAACUCAUAGUCUGCAUCGGAAACUGCCGGGCUUGAGUGUGGGAGAGGUGAGUGGAAUUCCUGGUGUAGCGGUGAAAUGCGUAGAUAUCAGGAGGAACACCUGUGGCGAAAGCGGCUCACUGGGACCAUAACUGACGCUGAUGCACGAAAGCUAGGGGAGCAAACAGG